rnacentral:misc_RNA from 1 species
UUUCCGUAGGUGAACCUGCGGAAGGAUCAUUAUUGUAUAACCGAGGUGCGAGGGCUGUCGCUGACCCGAAAGGUCGUGCACGCCCGAGUGCCCUCACACACAUCCAUCUCACCCCUAUGUGCACCACCGCGUGGGUCCCCCUUUGGCUUGUUCGGAGGGGGGCUUACGUUUUCACACAAACUUUGUAUGCAGUGUAGAAUGUAUUUUUUGUUUUUGCGAUCACGCAAUCAAUACAACUUUCAACAACGGAUCUCUUGGCUCUCGCAUCGAUGAAGACGCAC